UGAGUCUCCAGCUAAAACUAAAGUUUUCAACUGUCAUCAUUUUUAACAGAAUGUUUCCUGUCCAUUUUACAAUUUCAGGCUCACAGGAGGAUUGAUGAUAGACAGAGUGACACCAUGAACUCUGAUUAGAGAUUUACAGUCAGUCCUGAUACUUUAUGAUCAAACUCACAAUUCACUCUCUUCUUCUAGUGGUGUUGAUUCAUCUAAUAGAAUUUAUAGAGUAAUAUAUUCUGUAACUCUAGUCUAGUAUAUCAGUCUUGUAGCAGCUCGAUCUGUUGUGAAUCCUGCCCACUUCUUUGCAUCAUCAGCACAUGCUUCAGUGCUCUGAGAGAGUUUAUAGUGCUGUGAGUUUAACACUUCAUGACUGAGAGCAGAACAGAACACAAUCUUCAUCAUCACACAAGACACAACAACAACAAUGAACAACAUCAUCAUCCUCAUCUGGACUCUCACACUGUUUGCUCAAGAGAGUAGAGGACAGUACACUGUAACUCAGAGUCCAUCAAUAACAGCAGCUCAACCAGGACAAGAAGUCAGAAUAAACUGUAAAAGCAGCAGUAAUGUCUACAGUGAUAGUAAUGGCUUAUGGUUGAGCUGGUAUUUACAGAAACCUGGAGAAGCUCCUAAACUCCUCAUAUAUUAUGCAACAACCCGUUACACUGGAACUCCAUCUAGAUUCAGUGGCAGUGGAUCUAACAGUGAUUUCUCUCUGACCAUCAGUGGAGUCCAGACUGAAGAUACAGGAGAUUAUUACUGUCUGAGUUUCCACUAUCCAAACAGUAAAUAUGUGUUCACACAGUGAUAAAGAGUCGUACAAAAACCUCCGUCAGUCAGAGUCACAGUGACUGCACUGAUACAGCUGAGAGAUACUGCAGCUGCUGAUGAACACAAUCACACACAACACUGAUCAACACAAACACUAAUAACACA